rnacentral:ncRNA from 1 species
CAAAGGCUUAGUCCUAACUUUUUUGUCAGCUUUAGCCAAAUUUACACAUGCAAGUUUCCGCACUCCCGUGAAAAUCCCCCAGAGUCCCCUGAAUGGGGACGAGGAGCUGGUAUCAGGCUCAAACAACCAAUUAGCCCACGACGCCUUGCUAAGCCACACCCCCAAGGGAGUUCAGCAGUGAUAGACAUUAAGCCAUAAGCGAAAGCUCGACUUAGUUAAAGCUAAGAGGACCGGUAAAACUCGUGCCAGCCACCGCGGUUAUACGAGAGGUCCAAGUUGACAAACGCCGGCGUAAAGCGUGGUUAUGAUUCCUACAAAACUAAAGCCAAAUGCCCACAAAGCUGUUAUACGCUCUCGAGGGCCAGAAACCCACCAACGAAAGUGGGUUUACACACCUGAACCCACGAAAGCUAUGAAACAAACUGGGAUUAGAUACCCCACUAUGCAUAGCCAUAAACAUUGAUACCCCAGCACAUCGGUUAUCCGCCCGGGUACUACGAGCAUAAGCUUAAAACCCAAAGGACUUGGCGGUGCUUCAGACCCACCUAGAGGAGCCUGUUCUAUAACCGAUAAUCCCCGUUCAACCUCACCUCUCCUUGUCUAAACCGCCUAUAUACCGCCGUCAUCAGCUUACCCUGUGAAGGUCUCAUAGUAAGCUUAAUUGCCAUAAUCCAAAAUGCCAGGUCGAGGUGUAGCGUAUGGAGAGGGAAGAAAUGGGCUACAUUUAGUGCACCCACUAUACACGGACGAUGAGUUGAAAAACCCUGCAGAAGGAGGAUUUAGCAGUAAGCGGAAAAUAGAGCGUUCCCCUGAAAUAGGCUCUGAAGCGCGUACACACCGCCCGUCACUCUCCCCAAAAAUUGACACUAACACUCUAUAAUACCCUACUACCAGGAAGGGGAGGCAAGUCGUAACAUGGUAAGUGUACCGGAAGGGGCACUUGGCAAAAU